rnacentral:rRNA from 1 species
UCGAAUUUGGGUUUUUUGGGAGAUGUUUGUUCGUCACUGGAUACUUAAUCCAUUUCUACACUAUUUUCGGUGGUCACCGUAGCGUCGGAUUCCUCACCCGACGAUUCCAACCACUUUGUGUUUGCCCACUUUGGGCCGCGUUUUGUUGGGAUUCGACACUUGUUAAUUUUUAAACACGAAAGUUAUUAAACUUAAGAGUCACAAAUCGACCGUUUUCGCUCGCACUACGGUACCUGCGUCCCGGACGGACUCGACCCUUAAGCCGGGUUUCUUUGUUCGCGCUCGUUGCAGAGUUCUAAGAAGAACUUUCAAUUGUUACGACGGGCACAACGUUAGGACACGUGCGCACUUAUUAAAAAACGCUUAAAAUACACUCGGCACUCAGGAGAGGUAAAAAACGAUCCGCUCGGUACGAGGGCUCGAGUCGAACUGGCCGACCGGUACGUUCAAUGUGGUGUGGCCGUUGCCUAUAGUUAAUGCUUUAUUGCGGCUUACGAUCAAUUGGAGGGCAAGUCUGGUGCCAGCAGCCGCGGUAACACCAGCUGCAAAAGCGUAUAUUAAAGAUGUUGCGGUUAAAAAGCUCGAAAUUCUUGGAUCGUCGCAAGACGGACAGAAGCGAAAGCAUUUGCCAAAAACGCUUUCAUUGAUCAAGAACGAAAGUUAGAGAUUCGAAGGCGAUCAGAUACCGCCCUAGUUCUAACCAUAAACGAUGCCAGCUAGCGAUCCGCCGACGUUCCUCCGAUGACUCGGCGGGCAGCUUCCGGGAAACCAAAGCUUUUGGGAUCCGGGGGAAGUAUGGUUGCAAAGCUGAAACUUAAAGGAAUUGACGGAAGGGCACCACCAGGAGUGGAGCCUGUGGCUUAAUUUGACCCAACACGGGAAACCUCACCAGGCCCGGACACCGGAAGGAUUGACAGAUUGAGAGCUCUUUCUUGAUUCGGUGGGUGGUGGUGCAUGGCCGUUCUUAGUUGGUGGAGCGAUUUGUCUGGUUAAUUCCGAUAACGAACGAGACUCUAGCCUGCUAACUAGGCGUAUUUUCGACAUCUCAAAGGUCCACCGGCCCGACGGUCGCGUCGUGGUCUCGCGCGAUUUUUACUGUCGGCGUACAAUUAAUUCUUCUUAGAGGGACAGGCGGCUUCUAGCCGCACGAGAUAGAGCAAUAACAGGUCUGUGAUGCCCUUAGAUGUUCUGGGCCGCACGCGCGCUACACUGAAAGAAUCAGCGUGUCUUCCCUGGCCGAGCGGCCCGGGUAACCCGUUGAACCUCCUUCGUGCUAGGGAUUGGGGCUUACAUUUACUUUUAUUAACUUUUAGUCUAGCAACUAUAAAAUACAAAAACUAGACCGUUUUUGAAUACAAAAAGAGAAUUGAUGUACAAUACUAAUUCAUUUUUAUGAGAAAUAAUCAGGAAAUAAC